rnacentral:misc_RNA from 1 species
UUAAGUUCAGCGGGUAUCCCUACCUGAUCCGAGGUCAACCUUGUAAAAAAAGAAGUGUCCCUGUGGGGGGACGGUGACCGGGUCUGGACUUCUAGCCUAGUACGUGCCCGAAAGCUCAGUGUACAGGAGUCCUCACAGACGCCGUCAUUAUCUUUGGGAAGAGCGGGGGGGCGCGAGCCGCCCCCGCUGCGACCAACAAC